rnacentral:rRNA from 1 species
AAAUUGAAGAGUUUGAUCAUGGCUCAGAUUGAACGCUGGCGGCAGGCCUAACACAUGCAAGUCGAACGGUAACAGGAAGCAGCUUGCUGCUUCGCUGACGAGUGGCGGACGGGUGAGUAAUGUCUGGGAAACUGCCUGAUGGAGGGGGAUAACUACUGGAAACGGUGGCUAAUACCGCAUAACGUCGCAAGACCAAAGAGGGGGACCUUCGGGCCUCUUACCAUCAGAUGUG